GGUAGCAUGGCUUAGGGUCCAUGGCGCCUGAUUAAGGCUCCAGUCUCUUCGGGGCGAGGUUCGAAUCCUCUGCUGCCA